GAAAUGUGCGUCUAAGCAUUUAGGGAGACUGGAUAGGCAAAUCCGUUCAGUCAAUUCUGAGGUGUGAUGGGGAGCGAAAUUAAGUAGCGAAGUAUCUGAUUCCAUGUUGCCAAGAAAAGCCUCUAUGGAGAAGAAUGGUACCCGUACCGCAAACCGACACAGGUAGGUGAGGAGAGAAUCCUAAGACCGUCGGAAGAAUUGUUGUUAAGGAACUAGGCAAAUUGACCCCGUAACUUCGGAAUAAGGGGUGCCUACCGCAAGGUAGGCCACAGUGAAUAGGCUCAGGCAACUGUUUAACAAAAACACAGGUCUCUGCUAAAGCGUAAGCUGAUGUAUAGGGGCUGACGCCUGCCCGGUGCUGGAAGGUUAAGGGGAUUGCUUAGCGCAAGCGAAGGCAUGAACUUAAGCCCCAGUAAACGGCGGCCGUAACUAUAACGGUCCUAAGGUAGCGAAAUUCCUUGUCGGGUAAGUUCCGACCCGCACGAAUGGCGUAAUGAUCUGAGCACUGUCUCAACAACAAAUCCGGUGAAAUUGUAGUGCAAGUGAAGAUGCUUGCUACCCGCAGUAGGACGGAAAGACCCCGUAGAGCUUUACUGCAAUUUAGCAUUGAAUUUCGGUAUUAUCUGUACAGGAUAGGUGGGAGACUGGGAAAUGAUGUCGUCAGGCGUCAUGGAGUCAACCUUGGGAUACCACCCUGAUAUUACUGGAAUUCUAACGAAAGGCCAUGAAACUGGUUGUCGGACAUUGCUAGGUGGGCAGUUUGACUGGGGCGGUCGCCUCCAAAAAUGUAACGGAGGCGCCCAAAGGUUCCCUCAGCGCGGUCGGAAAUCGCGCGUAGAGUGCAAAGGCAGAAGGGAGCCUGACUGCGACACUUACAAGUGGAGCAGGGACGAAAGUCGGGCUUAGUGAUCCGGUGGUACCUCGUGGGAGGGCCAUCGCUUAACGGAUAAAAGCUACCUCGGGGAUAACAGGCUGAUCUCCCCCAAGAGUCCACAUCGACGGGGAGGUUUGGCACCUCGAUGUCGGCUCGUCGCAUCCUGGAGCUGAAGUCGGUUCCAAGGGUUGGGCUGUUCGCCCAUUAAAGCGGCACGCGAGCUGGGUUCAGAACGUCGUGAGACAGUUCGGUCCCUAUCCGCUGCGGGCGUAGGAAAUUUGAGAGGCGCUGUCCUUAGUACGAGAGGACCGGGAUGGACUGACCUCUGGUGCACCAGUUGUUCCGCCAGGAGCACAGCUGGGUAGCUAUGUCGGGAAGGGAUAAACACUGAAAGCAUCUAAGUGUGAAGCCCACCUCAAGAUUAGAUUUCCCUUAGCGUAAGCUAUAAGACCCCUUGAAGACUACAAGGUUGAUAGGUGAGAGGUGUAAGUGUGGUAACAUAUUUAGCUGACUCAUACUAAUAGGUCGAGGACUUGACCAA
rfam:Clostridium proteolyticum DSM 3090 genome assembly, contig: EJ39DRAFT_NODE_1_len_1417_cov_75_278053.44